rnacentral:rRNA from 1 species
ACUCCUGCGGGAGGCAGCAGUGGGGAAUAUUGGACAAUGGGCGCAAGCCUGAUCCAGCCAUGCCGCGUGAGUGAUGAAGGCCCUAGGGUUGUAAAGCUCUUUCACCGGAGAAGAUAAUGACGGUAUCCGGAGAAGAAGCCCCGGCUAACUUCGUGCCAGCAGCCGCGGUAAUACGAAGGGGGCUAGCGUUGUUCGGAAUUACUGGGCGUAAAGCGCACGUAGGCGGAUCGAUCAGUCAGGGGUGAAAUCCCAGGGCUCAACCCUGGAACUGCCUUUGAUACUGUCGAUCUGGAGUAUGGAAGAGGUGAGUGGAAUUCCGAGUGUAGAGGUGAAAUUCGUAGAUAUUCGGAGGAACACCAGUGGCGAAGGCGGCUCACUGGUCCAUUACUGACGCUGAGGUGCGAAAGCGUGGGGAGCAAACAGGAUUAGAAACCCGUGUAGUCCC